rnacentral:rRNA from 1 species
UGGGAGUGAGAAUGUUGGCAUGAGUAGCGAGAUGUGGGUGAGAAUCCCACAGGCCGUAAACCCAAGGUUUCCAGGGGAAGGUUCGUCCGCCCUGGGUUAGUCGGGACCUAAGCUGAGGCCGAAAGGCGUAGGGGAUGGACAACAGGUUGAUAUUCCUGUACUACCGAUAACCGUUUGAGAGAUGGGAUGACACAGUAGGAUAAGCUAAGCACACUGUUGGUUAUGUGUGCCCAAGCAUUGAGGCAGUCAAAGUAGG